GCCGAUGUAGCUCAGGGGUAGAGCAGCUGUUUCGUAAACAGCAGGUCGCAGGUUCGAAUCCCGUCAUCGGCUCCA
rnacentral:tRNA from 1 species